GUCGAGAAUCUUUCACAAUGGGGGCAACCCUGAUGGAGCGACGCCGCGUGGAGGAUAAGGUCUUCGGAUUGUAAACUCCUGUCAUGCGUGAACAAGGUUGCUUGGUUAAUACCUGGGCAAAUUGAUGGUAACGCAAGAGGAAGAGACGGCUAACUCUGUGCCAGCAGUCGCGGUAAUACAGAGGUCUCAAGCGUUGUUCGGAAUCACUGGGCGUAAAGGGUGCGUAGGUGGCGUGGUAAGUCAGAUGUGAAAGCCCGGGGCUCAACCUCGGAACUGCAUCCGAUACUGCCAUGCUAGAGUACUGGAGAGGUGACUAGAAUUCUCGGUGUAGCAGUGAAAUGCGUAGAUAUCGAGAGGAAUACCAAAGGCGUAGGCAGGUCACUGGACAGUUACUGACACUGAGGCACGAAGGCCAGGGGAGCGAACGGGAUUAGAAACCCCGGUAGUCC
rnacentral:rRNA from 1 species